rnacentral:rRNA from 1 species
CAGUCGCCGCGGGAAUACGUAGGGUGCAAGCGUUAAUCGGAAUUACUGGGCGUAAAGCGUGCGCAGGCGGUUAUAUAAGACAGAUGUGAAAUCCCCGGGCUCAACCUGGGAACUGCAUUUGUGACUGUAUAGCUAGAGUACGGCAGAGGGGGAUGGAAUUCCGCGUGUAGCAGUGAAAUGCGUAGAUAUGCGGAGGAACACCGAUGGCGAAGGCAAUCCCCUGGGCCUGUACUGACGCUCAUGCAUGAAAGCGUGGGGAGCAAACAGGAUUAGAGACCCCUGUAGUCCCUGUCUCUUAUAC